rnacentral:lncRNA from 1 species
GUCGUUCAUAACCCACCGGAUCUGUGGGGAUUCUGUUAUAACAGCCCCAAGGGACGAAGACAGCCCCUCUACCCUCUUCAGGUCAUAGAAAUUCCCUCCCACCUGGUGUGAAGAUAGAGGCGGUUGGCUAUUGCCAUGGAAACCAAGGUGGAAUGGGGGCCCAGAAGGAGAGGCUGGGGAAAGGACAGCAGGAGCCUCAGAGACUGAGACUUCACGGGCUUUGCAGACCACGUGGGACUCAAGUCCCGCCUAUCCACACAGGGGACGCACUCAAGGUAUGAAGGCGCAGUGCAGGCCCUCAGGAAGUGGGCCUUCCUUGCUGAUCCAGUGGUUGAGAAUCUGCCCGACAGUGAAGGGGACACGGGUUCGAUCCCUGAUCUGGGAAGAUCCCAUGUGCUGCGGAGCAACUAAGCCCGGGAGCCACAACUCGUGAACCCACGUACCCUAGGGCUGCUGCUCCGCAACAGAGAGCAACCCCCGACUCCGCGCAAUUAGAAGCAAUGGAGACCCAGCAGAGCCCAAAAGAAAGGAGGAAACUCAGCAAGCCGCUUUGCCUCUCGAAACCCGUUUCCUCUUCUAGAACACAAACUACAAGUAUUCCAUGAUCACGAGGUUGCCCUGAGCAUAAAGCAAAUGCAUCUGACAAAGUUCUCAAAAGCAGAUCUGAUGCCAUUUAUUGCAGAAACCAGUACUCGAGACACCACACACGGCACUCACAGAGCUGGAGAACUCAGGGUUAACACGCCGGCGGGGUUAACCCUGCAAGCUCUGAGCUCUGAACAGAGGGGUUACUGAGUUUUAUACACGGACAGGCAUGAUUUGCGGGUCUGCAGGGGCUGGGUGGUUGCAAAGAGCAGGACAAGGCACAGGUCCAGAUCCAAAAUGGGUUUUGAAAAGCGGUUCACCUGCCAAGGGUCUGUCUUCCGGUGUGAACUCCAUGCAGCGGCACGCAGCCUGUCUCGUUCCCGAGGGCGCCCCGCCCCACAAGCCUCCCACCUAGAGUGGGUCUUACAGCUUAACUAACCUUGAAUGUAUUCUUAUCUUUUUCCAGUGUCCAUAAAUAAAGUUCUACUGGAACAAGGCCACACUAAUUAAUUUCCAUAUUGCCUGUGGCUGCUUUCCUAUUACAACAGGCAGAGAACUCUGUGCUACAAAGCCUAAAAGAUUUACAAGCUGGGGCACUCCCUGGCCGUCCAAAGGUUAGGCCUUGGCUCUUUCUCUGCCAAGGGCUCAGGUGCAGAAACUAAGAUCCCAUGAGCUGUGCCACGAGGCCCC